rnacentral:rRNA from 1 species
GGAUUAGAUACCCUGGUAGUCCUAGCUGUAAACGAUGAGCACUUGGUUGAGGGCCCCCCCAUAGGUUCUCGGCCGUAGCGAAAGUGUUAAGUGCUCCGCCUGGGGAGUAUGGUCGCAAGGCCGAAACUCAAAGGAAUUGACGGGGGCUCACACAAGCGGUGGAGCAUGUGGUUUAAUUCGAAGCAACGCGCAAAACCUUACCUGGGUUUGACAUGCACGGAUUAGCUGCUGGAAACAGUAGUGACGCUCGCAAGAGUGGAACGUGCACAGGUGCUGCAUGGCUGUCGUCAGCUCGUGCUG